CUCAGGUAAUCCGCCCGCCUCGGCCUCCCAAAGUGCUGGGAUUACAGGCUGAGCCACCAUGUCCUGCCUAAACCAACUUUUGUGAAAUGGCUUUUUAAGGUAAUGUCAUGAACCACUUCAUUCCUCUGCCAGGGUCUUAUUUAACCCUUCAAAAACAUGGGUGGGCCCUAUAUAAUGUGACUUCAUUCUACAUUGGAUCCCCACAAAGCUAGUCUUGGCUUUUCACUUGGAACAUGCCCAAUGCUGAUACAAAGUAAAGAUUCACUAUAGAUCUUAUUGCUAUCCAUCGUACGUUAUAAAACUUGUCUAAAUAUUUAAAGGUUUAAAACAAGCCUGCGCAGUGGAUGUCAAGAGUAAAGUACGUUUCAUAGUAAAAUUAAAAUGCCAUUAAAAUUUUGUUCUUGUGGGGCUGGGUGUGGUGGCUCAUGCCUGUAAUCCCAGCACUUGAGGAGGCUGAGGCAGGCAGAUCACCUGAGGUCAGGAGUUCAAGACCAGCCUACCCAACAUGGUGAAACCCCUGUCUCUACUAAAAAUACAAAAAUAAGCCAGGCAUGGUGGCUGGUGCCUGUAAUCCCAGCUCCUCGGGAGGCUGAGGCAGGAGAAUUGCCUGAACCCAGGAGGCGGAGGUUGUGGUGGGCCGAGAUCACACCAUUGCAGUCUGGCCUGGGCGACAAGAGCAAGACUCCGUCUCAAAAAAAAAAAAUUGUUCUUGCUUUGUAAAUGCUGCUUUCUUUUCUUCAUUUUGGAGCGGGGAGCCUUGCCGAUAGUCAGUGACUUGUACAUUUGUUUACUGGCAUUUGAUAGGCUGCUCCUUAUCUUGCAUGAAAAAAUAAAGACCUAGCCAGUCUAAUCCUGCUGGGAUUCAUAUCAGUGGCCCCAGGGGGUUGAGAUGCUUCAAAGCUACUGUUUAAAUGGCAAAACCAAGUAUCUUACUUGGAUAAUACUAAAGUAUGUCCUUUAUGGC
rnacentral:lncRNA from 1 species